UACAGAGGUCUCAAGCGUUGUUCGGAUUCAUUGGGCGUAAAGGGUGCGUAGGCGGCGAGGCAAGUCUGGUGUGAAAUCCCGGGGCUCAACCCCGGAACUGCACUGGAUACUGCUUGCUAGAGUACUGGAGAGGGAACUGGAAUUUACGGUGUAGCAGUGAAAUGCGUAGAUAUCGUAAGGAAGACCAGCGGCGAAGGCGAGUUCCUGGACAGUUACUGACGCUGAGGCACGAAGGCCAGGGGGAGCAAACGGG
rnacentral:rRNA from 1 species